rnacentral:rRNA from 1 species
UACGGGGGGAGCAAGCGUUGUUCGGAUUUACUGGGCGUAAAGGGCGCGUAGGCGGCCAGCGCAAGUCAGUUGUGAAAUCUCCGGGCUUAACUCGGAAAGGUCAACUGAUACUGCGCGGCUAGAGUGCGGAAGGGGCAACUGGAAUUCUCGGUGUAGCGGUGAAAUGCGUAGAUAUCGAGAGGAACACCUGCGGCGAAGGCGGGUUGCUGGGCCGACACUGACGCUGAGGCGCGAAAGCUAGGGGAGCAAACAGG